GAAGAAGCCAAGCCUAAAAAUACACAAGAUUUCUUCUCUCUAAUUUUUCUCUUCUUCUUCCUUACUCUAGUUUCUCUCCUCUCAUCCCUUUUUAUAUUCUUCUCCUUCCCUUUUCUAUUUCUAUUCGUAAAACAGGUAUAUAAGCUUCAGUCGAUUCUCAUGGCCAACAACGGUGUUACCUCGCGGUUGCAACAGGAUGUGGGCAUUUUGCAGCAGAAGAUAGUGAAUAUCCAAAGAGAGUUGUCCCAACUCGAUGCUAAGUUGGAUGCCAAGUUAGAGGCCAGAUUCAAGGAGUUUAAGGAUGAGCUCAUGGGUGAGCUACGAUAUGAGCUUCAGUCAUCGUUUAAGCAGUAUUUGGGGUACCAAAAUCCUACUACUAGCAACGCAGCAACCUUAGCUAAAGGGUUUCAUUUUUUCUGUUUAGUACGGGAUGGGAAGGUAUCAGAGUCGGAGAAAAAGCUACAGUCCUCGUCGUCGUAGCCAGAGUCUCGCUCGUGGAAGGAAGAGGUACGAUGAUGAACCUCGCGAUCACCAGCGAUCUCACCGUGACCACCGUCGCCGCUCCCCUCUCCCUUCUGGUUUGCUCAUUCACAAUCUCCCUCUCGACACUAGGUUUUGUAUUCGAUUACUUGUCCUAUGAAUGUGUUAGAAGAGAGGAAAUUUGACUAACACCGUUCAUGAGCAUAUAAGCAACAGAGCUUGGGUUUUUUUUCGAUUUGGCACAAGCCCAUCAGUUGAACUGCCAUUAUUGAGGUUUCUGCUUAGUUCAACUAGGGUUUUUCUUUUUCCUACUUCGGUACUUCCUUCCUCAUUCUAUCUCGAUUUCUCCCUCUUUCUCCCCCAAAUGACGAAGUUCAGGAAGCUUAAUCGACCCACUGGUCAUCGCAUGUCCAUGCUCAGAACAAUGGUUUCCCAGUUGGUAAAGCACGAGCGCAUUGAAACUACUGUUGCGAGGGUUCUUUUCUUUUAAGCAUGUCUUUGAUUUGCUGGGGUUUUGAUGCGUUUCCUUACUUUGUUAUAUUGAUUAAUCUUUCUAGUUCCUUUGCUUUUAAGUCCUUAUUUCUGUUGUUGGGUUUCUCUUAACUGAGUCAUUAAAUCUGUGUUUUAUUUGUUUUACUUGAAUUUAUCUAAUUUCCUGUUUCUUUACCCAAUUUCGAAAGAUUCAGUAGCAUCGGUAAAUAAUUUACUUUCUCUACUCAUUCAAAAUUAUGAUGAUGAUGAUAACGCUGUUUGAAUUUUUAGAAAUUUAUGAAUGCUGAUUUGAUAUUUUAAUUUCUGAAUUUUGUUGAAUUAUGAAUGCUUGGUGCCAAAUUUUUUUUUCCUUUUUAUUUCUUUUAUGUAUUUUUCGUGCAGUUGAUAAUAUAAUUGCAUGCUAGAAUAUUUGUGAUAGGAAAAAGGAACAUGAUUUUAUACUUUUGGGUUACUAGCAUUUUUUCUAUAUAGUUUUCUCUUCCUAUUUUUUCAUGCAUGUCAUUAUGAUGGCAUAUUAGACGGUAUUGGUGAAUGUGUAAGAAUUCUGUUUUGAUACGGCCGUGCCCGAGCACAAUCUUGGACCAGCUCUCAAAGCGUUGCUUGCAAUCCUUUGCAAGCUGAAUUAGUUCGAUUCUAGCUCGUUGAGCUCAAUUCGGCUCGUUUCCAGCUCAAUGAGCUUGUUUGCUCGUUUUGAGCUUACUUUAAUUUCUAUAAUUUAGUUGCUGGAAUAAAAUAAAUGCCAAUUAGUUUAUUCAGCUUAAAUAAUUAAAUUGCAUUUUUAAUUCUGGACGUUUUAAUUAGAAGUGUUUAAAUGUGUCUAAAGUUGAGACAAAUUAAUUUCGUGUUUUAAUUAAUUUGUCUUAGCUGCUGUUGAGUUUAAUUUGAGUCUUAAUUAAUAUUUGUUUUAAUAUGUCUAGUUACAGUAUUUUAAUGUGUCUUUAGCUGAACAUUUUAAAUACAGGUUUUUAAAUGUGUCUUAGUUUCUUUGUGUUUAAUAUGUCCUAGUUAUUAUCAGCUUUAAUGUGCCCUAGCUGAAUGCAUCAUUUUAAUGUGUUUUAGUUGCUGAAUUAAUGUGUCUAAAAGAGAAUUAAUUUGUUGAAUUUAUUGGAUGCAGGUACCAUGCAUGGACGACAUUUAAAAGAGUGAGCUGCUGAUUGCUCUCCUCCAAGUGACCAUUCGGUCAUUGCAACAGCCACAAGUAGCUGAUGCUUAUUCUUCCCAAAUUGGCCGGCUAGCUCCCCAAAGCUACCUUGAAAGCUUUCACACCUGCUGCACAUUCCGUUCACAAAGCUUUCACAUCACAAGGCUUUCCAGAUUUUUGUUUUCACACACACAAGGCUGUUUGCAUUCGGUUUCAUACUUGGAUGACCAUUACAAUACUCAAGCUACCAAUUAAAGCUCCUAAACUAUUCAGCUGAACAAGGAGUUUCAAUUAAAGCCAUUCAAGCACCUGAACCAAAUCUACAAAGUCAUUUCAGCUCAAUUCAGCUCCUACUUAAUUUCAUUCAUGCCCAGGUGAUUGAAGGCUUCUAGAAUCUGCCCAUUGAUGUAUCCCAAGCUAGGAAGUUUCAAAGAACCUUCAAGUGACGUUCUAGGAAGUUGCCAAGAACUUUCAAGUUCAUUUAUUUGCUGCAUGCUGUCCAUUAGGCUAUCUAAAGUGCCUAUUCGGCUAGCCUAGCCAUUUUUACUAUAAAUACUUAGCUAGUUGCUGUUUGUAGGGAUUUUUGAACCUUUAUUUAAUGUUUAUACAUUUUGUGAGUUCCUCAACUCUCUUAUUUCGUUUUAGACUCAGCUAGACUUAUCUAGCUUGCUAAUGGCGUCUUCCUUGUUUCUUCGAACUUAUCACUCAAUCCCGAGUGUGGCGUUCAACCAUUUGAUACCUCUGGUUCCUAACUCUUAUAGUUAGCGGGUCAAGGUCCUUUUCAUCACCUUUAAGUGUCUUAUAAGAUUUCGGGUUAGUACACCAUUUUAGUAUUGGUUCCUUCUUGACCUUAAAGCCAUUCGAGCCAACCGCAAAUCCAUCUUCAAACAACCUUUAGCCUCUUCACUUAACCGAAUCCAUUACAUAUCAUACUUAGCUGAAUUUAACCCCUUUAUUUUAAAUCGAGCGAUACUUCUCAUUUUAACAAUUGGGCACGUUAACGACUCGACUCACAUCACCGAGCCGGUUCGCAUCAUGUUUGCAGUUGAUCAUGCCGGUAUUGAGGGGAAUGCACAAAAUGGACCAGUUGUGAAAUUACCUUUUGCAUCCCUAUUUGAUACCCUUGGCAUUUGUCUUUCUAUUCUAUUAUCAAUAUGUGAAUGAGUAAAAUUACCUCUAUGAGAUUAUUAAAGAUUGCUUUUUGUGGAUUAUGAUGUAUUCAUAGUGGGCAAAUCUGGGUAAUAAGUUUGUGUGACUGCUUUAUUACUGUUAGUUUUUGCUAACAUUUUGCCAAAAAUGGGUUCUAUUCCUUGGUAAUUGUUGUUGGCUUUCUUUUCCCCAUUUUUCUUUUGUUUCUUAAUUGAUUUUGUUUAAAACUGUUCUAUAAAGAAAAUUGACUUAAGUUUAGACUUCUAUUUUAUGGACCAUCUGUCCUUCGCAUAGCUGUGAACUUUGAUUGACACAAAUGCUUUGCCACUUGUCACUAUAUUCGGAAUCAAUAUUCUAUCUCUCAUGGCUUCUCUCUCAUUCUUGUUUUUGGUACUAAUUUACUUCUUUUUUUUUCAGAAGUUUGCUUUGAAUUUGAGAAAAUUUAAGCUUAUUAAAAGAGUAAGAUGGCAUCCACUUUCACAGCCAUGUCAUCAGUUGGCUCAUUCGUUGCACCUAAUGGUCUGGUCAUGGAUAAGAAGCUUUCAUCUUCUUCCAACAGAUUGUCAUCUUUAGCAUCCAUUUCUUCAUCUUCAUUUCUUAGUAGAAGAAAUGUUGUUCUUAGAAGAUCUCGUCUGCCCAAGAUUUCUGCAGCAAAAGAGCUACAUUUCAAUAAGGAUGGGUCAGCCAUAAAGAAAUUACAAUUGAGUCUUUAUUUCAAAUGCUAAAAAUUUUCCUAACUGGUUAAGCAUUCAACUGAACUUCACAGCCUUUAUAAGUUUGCU